GUUUUUCAGCAGCCGGGGCUGGGAAACUGGUCAGAGUUGAGGGAAAGAUGGAUGGUGCUAAAUACAGGGAUAUUCUUGAGCAAAACUUGUACCACUCUGUGCGUGAUUUGAGGCUAGAACAGAGGUUCACCUUCCAGCAGGACAAUGACCUCAAACACACUGUUAAAGCAACACUUGAGUGGUUUAAGGUGAAACAUGUAAAUGUGUUGGAAUGGCCUAGUCAAAGCCCAGACCUCAAUCCAAUAGAAAAUCUGUGGUCAGACUGAAAGACUGCUAUUCACAAGCACAAACCAUCCAACUUGAAGGAGCUGGAGCAGUUUUGCAAGGAGGAACAGGCAAAAAUCCCAGUGGUAAGAUGUGGC